CAGCCGCCGCGGGAAUACGAGGGGGGCAAGCGUUGUUCGGAAUUAUUGGGCGUAAAGGGUGCGUAGGCGGUUUGAUAAGUCUUGUGUGAAAUCUAUGGGCUCAACCCAUAGUCUGCAUAGGGAACUGUCGGGCUUGAGAGUGGGAGAGGUGAGUGGAAUUUCCGGUGUAGCGGUGAAAUGCGUAGAUAUCGGAAGGAACACCUGUGGCGAAAGCGGCUCACUGGACCAUUUCUGACGCUGAUGCACGAAAGCUAGGGGAGCAAACAGGAUUAGAUACCCCCGUAGUCCCUGUCUCUUAUAC
rnacentral:rRNA from 1 species